rnacentral:rRNA from 1 species
UGGGGAAUAUUGGACAAUGGGCGAAAGCCUGAUCCAGCCAUGCCGCGUGUGUGAAGAAGGUCUUCGGAUUGUAAAGCACUUUAAGUUGGGAGGAAGGGCAUUAACCUAAUACGUUAGUGUUUUGACGUUACCGACAGAAUAAGCACCGGCUAACUCUGUGCCAGCAGCCGCGGUAAUACAGAGGGUGCAAGCGUUAAUCGGAAUUACUGGGCGUAAAGCGCGCGUAGGUGGUUUGUUAAGUUGGAUGUGAAAUCCCCGGGCUAAACCUGGGAACUGCAUUCAAAACUGACUGACUAGAGUAUGGUAGAGGGUGUUGGAAUUUCCUGUGUAGCGGUGAAAUGAGUAGAUAUAGGAAGGAACACCAGUGGCGAAGGCGACCACCUGGACUAAUACUGACACUGAGGUGCGAAAGCGUGGGGAGCAAACA